GAUGAAGAACGUAGUAAAAUGCGAUACUUGGUGUGAAUUGCAGAAUCCCGUGAACCAUCGAGUUUUCGAACGCAAGUUGCGCCCGAAGCCUUUUGGCCGAGGGCACGUCUGCCUGGGCGUCACGCAUCGCGUCGCCCCCCACAAUUCUCCGUAAAGGGAACAUGUGUUUUGGGGGCGGAUAUUGGUCUCCCGUGCUCAUGGCGUGGUUGGCCGAAAUAGGAGUCCUUUCGAUGGACGCACGAACUAGUGGUGGUCGUAAAAACCCUCGUCUUUUGUUUCGUGCUGUUGCUCGCAAGGUAAACUCUUUAAAAACCCCAAUGUGUCGUCUCUUGACGACGCUUCGACCGCGACCCCAGGUCAGGCGGGACUACCCGCUGAGUUUAAGCAUAUCAAUAAGCGGAGGA
rnacentral:misc_RNA from 1 species